ACCUGAGGGAUAGCUUAGCUGGUAGAGCAUGAGACUCUUAUUCUCGGGGUUGUGGGUUCGAGCCCCAUGUUGAGUG